CCGGCCCACCUAAGGCCCAAGCCCACGUUCCCCGAAGCCACCUGAUCACUCCUAGGGUUCCGCUUCCCUCUCCACCUAUAUAUACCUUCAGCCGCCGCCGCUCUCCCAUUCCCCUUUCCCCAUCGCCACCCCGCCGCCGCCGCCGACUCCGCAGGAGGAGACGCGCCAAGGAGGAGAGUCCGCGAGGAGGCGACCAUGAGGGCCAAGUGGAAGAAGAAGCGCAUGAGGAGGCUGAAGAGGAAGCGCCGAAAGAUGAGGCAGAGAUCUAAGUAAGCUGAUAGAGAUGGAUGGUUGUGGUGAUGGCAUGACUGUAUGCAUAUCUUCGGAUGCGAUAGCCUCAUGGAGAGAUGCCUACUAGGAAUGGUGUCACUGUUUAUCAUCUGUUGAAUGGCUUGCCUUGGAAACCUGCGCUUCAGUAGGCCUGUUAUUGUCGUUCUAGUUAUAUCAAGAGUUUUGCACUGAGAUAAAUCAGUCUGUUUUGUGGACCUGUUAUGGAGCUUUGUUUGCUGCUAAUAUCUACCUACCAAUUAAAUAAUUCUGGUGCUGUUCAUUUUGCGAUUU